AUUGAACGCUGGCGGCAGGCCUAACACAUGCAAGUCGAACGGGUGGCGGACGGGUGAGUAAUGUCUGGGAAACUGCCUGAUGGAGGGGGAUAACUACUGGCAACGGUUGCUAAUACCUCAUACCAUCUGAUGUGCCCAGAUGGGAUUAGCUAGUAGGUGUGGUAAAGGCUCACCUAGGCGACGAGCCCUAGCUGGUCUGAGAGGAUGACCAGUAACACUGGAACUGAGACAAGGGCCAGACUCUUACGGGAGGCAGCAGUGGGGAAUAUUGCACAAUGGGCGCAAGCCUGAUGCAGCCAGGCCGCGUGUAUGAAGAAGGCCAUCGGGUUGUAAAGUACUUUCAGCGGGGAGGCGUUACCCGCAGAAGAAGCACCGGCUAACUCCGUGCCAGCAGCCGCGGUAAUUC
rnacentral:rRNA from 1 species